rnacentral:rRNA from 1 species
UACAGAGGUCCCAAGCGUUGUUCGGAUUCACUGGGCGUAAAGGGUGCGUAGGUGGUCGGGUAAGUCUGAUGUGAAAUCUCCGAGCUUAACUCGGAAAUGGCAUUGGAUACUAUUCGGCUAGAGGGUUUGAGGGGGGGACUGGAAUACUUGGUGUAGCAGUGAAAUGCGUAGAUAUCGAAGGAACACCAGUGGCGAAAAGCGGCUUCCUGGUCCAGCACCGACGUUCAGGCACGAAAGCGUGGGGGGAGCAAACAG